GAAAACAAGCACCUGGCAAUGGCAGCAGCCCGUGCCGCGUUCAAAGUGACACCGCGCAACGGCCCGCCCCUUCCCGUGGCUUCCAGAAGUCACUUCCGGUGGCUGCUCCUAAAUUUGCUGUAGGCUCGAGCGGCCCCGGGCCCGUUCUUCUCUCCCAGUUCCCGGGGAAACCCGGCGAGGCCUCCGUUUGGUUCCUGGAAACCGAGCGGAGACCCUGGAAGCCGGAUCCGGAUCUUUGAUCGCGUGGCUGCCUCCUCUCGGGUGAUAGGAUGUGCUGCGAGAAGUGGAGCCGCGUGGCUGAAAUGUGUCUCUUCAUUGAUGACCUGGAGGAGGAUUUCAAGAUCCUUUGCCUCUGCUCCAGGGCGUUUGUGGAAGAUCGAAAACUAUGCAAUUUGGGAUUAAAAGGCUACUAUGUCAAAAGCAAUGACAAUAAUACAGGAGACCAGCCUACAGAAGAGGAGGAUGAAGCUACGGAAUCGCAUGAUAGCAAAGGCAUAGGCCUAGAUGAAAGUGAACUUGAUUCGGAGUCUGAACUCAUGAGAAGUAUGGGAUUGCCACUUCAGUUUGGUGGAACAUCUGCACAUAAGAAUUUUGAAGUGGUUAUGAACACUAGGAAUAAAUUUAAAAUUAAGAAGAAAAAGAAAAAACAUCAAAAGAAAUACUUAGAUGAAAUUAUGAGAGAAUCUUGGAGACAAGAAUAUGAAGAUGAUGAAAUUUUGGCUUCAGAUGAUGAACAGUGCAAGAACGCCAGAACGUGUAAGCAUCAAACCCAAAAAGACAUUAAAACAGAAAGCCUUCCUGUUGAUAACACAUUAUCUCCAAAUCUAGAAAUUACAGAGAAAUGGGAAAAGUAUUGGAAUGAAUAUGGUGGACAACUGUUAUGGCAAAGUUGGCAAGAAAAACACUCAGAUCAAACACUGUGUCCCGAACCCUGGAACGUUCCGGAUACAAAGGAAGAAUGGGAACAACAUUAUAGUCAACUUUAUUGGUAUUAUUUGGAACAGUUUCAAUAUUGGGAUGCUCAGGGUUGGACUUUUGAUGCCUCACAAAGCUGUCAUCCAGAUAAUUGUGAAUCUAAAGCAGAAGUUGAGGACAAGAAAGAUGAAACUUGCAUUAAAAAAGAUUCAGUUUCUUCUCCGGCAUUUGAUGGCAAGGGUGCAAGUCCAGGUGACAAAGAUCAAAGUGAAAUACUUCAUAGAAUUAACAACAUAAGUUUUAAUUCAGAGGAAGUAGAACAGAGCCAAUUAAAUUCCUCAGGAAGUUGUGAUGGGCACCAGUCACUAAGUGAAGUUGACAGCAAAAGACAAUGUCCUGUUUCUAGCCAAAGUGAACCAUCCAAUGGAGGAAACAAAGAAAACAACUCAUCCGAGAAUAAGGGUGCAAACCAACCUUCUCAGGGUUCACAAGAAGCAAACACAAUGAAAGAAAGACCACCCCCCACUGGUAUUGAUGGAGAUGAGAGUGGAGAUGACCCACCUGAAGAGAAACCAUGCAAACUCAAGAGGAGUCAUGAGCUAGACAUCGAUGAGAACCCAGAUUCAGACAUUGAUGACGAUGGUUGCCUUCUAGGAUUCCAGCAUGGUUCCGGACAAAAAUAUGGUGGAAUCUCAAAUUUUAGUCAUCGACGUGUCAGAUAUUUACAGAAGAAUGUGAAGCAUAAGUCAAAGUUCCUGGAUAUGCGAAGACAAAUAAACCUGAAGAACAAGCACAUCUUCUUUACUGAGGAGCCAGAAAAACCUCUUUUCAAGAAGAGCAAAACUUUGAGUAAGGUAGAAAAAUUUUUUAAAUGGGUUAAUGACCCAGCAUAUGAGGAAGCAUCACAAGAGCCAAUUUCUCAUGACAAUGUACAAGACACUUGUACAAGCACUGACUCAGAGGAACAAGAAGUGUCUGCUAAAAAAGAUGAUAACACACUGGAAACAAGCACUCCAAAAGGUGAAAAUUGCCCUACCGUGUCUUCAGCUGAUGGACUUGAAACAAGAGAAAAUGAAGGGGAUAGCAUAGCGGCAACAGAUAAGCAAGAUGGCAUUACUCAGGGUAUACCGGACUCUGUUCAGGUAGAAACUGAAGCUGAAAGUAAAAAGAAAAAAAAGAAGAGGAAAAACAGGAACAAAAAAGCAAAUGGGCUGCCUUCUGAGAUCGCUGCUGUUCCUGAGUUGGUCAAGUACUGGGCCCAGAGAUAUAGGCUUUUCUCCCGAUUUGAUGAUGGGAUUAAAUUAGAUAGAGAGGGCUGGUUUUCAGUUACGCCUGAGAAAAUUGCUGAACAUAUUGCUGGCCGGGUCAGUCAAACCUUCGAGUGUGACACUGUAAUAGAUGCAUUUUGUGGAGUUGGAGGGAAUACCAUACAGUUUGCCUUGACAGGAAAAAAAGUGAUUGCCAUUGAUAUUGAUCCAGUUAAAAUUGAUCUUGCUCGAAAUAAUGCACAAGUUUAUGGAAUAGCCGACAAAAUAGAGUUCAUCUGUGGAGAUUUCCUGCUGCUGGCUUCUCAGUUAAAGGCAGAUGUUGUGUUCCUCAGCCCUCCUUGGGGUGGGCCAGACUACGCUACUGCAGAGACCUUUGACAUCAGGACCAUGAUGUCUCCUGAUGGCUUUGAAAUUUUUAGACUUUCCCAGAAGAUUACUAGUAAUAUUGUUUAUUUUCUUCCAAGAAAUGCUGAUAUUGAUCAGGUGGCAUCCCUUGCUGGGCCUGGAGGACAAGUGGAAAUAGAACAAAAUUUUCUUAAUAAUAAAUUGAAGACAAUCACUGCUUAUUUUGGUGACCUGAUCCGAAGAUCAGCCCCUGAAAGCCAACUGUGAGGGGCUACCAAGAAAAAAAAAAUGAUAAAAUACUUGGACUUUGUUUUUGUAUUCACUGAUAAUUUCAUACUAGUGGAAAAAAUUAUAGAUUAAUAAAAGUUAAAGAAGUUCUUUGAGGGUUGCCCACAUUGCAAUGAGCAAAACUCGGAUUCAACUCCCAGCAUCACAACAAAUCUCAGCUAUGACAACAGAGGAAGUUUCCACGUGUGUCUGUCAUGUCUGUCUCUGAAUGUGAAUGUGCUCCAGAGCAGAAAAAUCACUUAGAUAUGAGAUCUUGGUUCCACCAGAAGAAAAGUACCUUUCUCUUUAAAUUUACUGUUCCUUUCAUCAAUUUUUCCUUUCACGUACUGCCUUUUUCUUAAUAUGUAUAAACAGUUACAAAUUUAAAAGCCCUUAGUUUCUAAUUACUAUUGUAAAUAUGUUUAGCCAGUCUUGUUUCCCUUUGAACUUCUGGGAUUUUUUUCUUGUCAUACAUAUUUUUUUAAUUUUUUAUAUCAUCCAAAUUCUCAGUAUUUUUUGUUGCUUCUGAAUUUGUUUAUGUUCUCUUUAAAAUCUUUUCUACUCCCAGAAUAUAAAUACAUGUAUUAUUUUAUUUUAUAAGGUUGGAGUUUUCUACAUUUUCAUCACAAAACCAUGAAAUAUUUUGUAAUGCAGUUUAUAAUUUUUAUUAAAAUAGCAGUACAAAAAGGAAGAA